UACCAGCACCCCGAGUGGUCGGGACGAUUAUUGGGCCUAAAGCAUCCGUAGCCGGUUCUACAAGUCUUCCGUUAAAUCCACCUGCUUAACAGAUGGGCUGCGGAGGAUACUAUAGAGCUAGGAGGCGGGAGAGGCAAGCGGUACUUAGUGGGUAGGGGUAAAAUCCGUUGAUCCAUUGAAGACCACCAGUGGCGAAGGCGGCUUGCCAGAACGCACUCGACGGUGAGGGAUGAAAGCUGG
rnacentral:rRNA from 1 species